UACGUAGGUGGCAAGCGUUGUCCGGAAUUAUUGGGCGUAAAGCGCGCGCAGGCGGUCCUUUAAGUCUGAUGUGAAAGCCCACGGCUCAACCGUGGAGGGUCAUUGGAAACUGGGGGACUUGAGUACAGAAGAGGAAAGCGGAAUUCCACGUGUAGCGGUGAAAUGCGUAGAGAUGUGGAGGAACACCAGUGGCGAAGGCGACUCUUUGGUCUGUAACUGACGCUGAGGCGCGAAAGCGUGGGGAGCAAACAGG
rnacentral:rRNA from 1 species